rnacentral:rRNA from 1 species
UACGGAGGGAGCUAGCGUUGUUCGGAAUUACUGGGCGUAAAGCGCACGUAGGCGGCUAUUCAAGUCAGAGGUGAAAGCCCGGGGCUCAACCCCGGAACUGCCUUUGAAACUAGAUAGCUAGAAUCUUGGAGAGGUCAGUGGAAUUCCGAGUGUAGAGGUGAAAUUCGUAGAUAUUCGGAAGAACACCAGUGGCGAAGGCGACUUACUGGACACAUAUUGACGCUGAGGUGCGAAAGCGUGGGGAGCAAACAGG